AGCGAACGCUGGCGGCAGGCCUAACACAUGCAAGUCGAACGGACCCUUCGGGGUUAGUGGCGGACGGGUGAGUAACACGUGGGAACGUGCCUUUAGGUUCGGAAUAGCUCCUGGAAACGGGUGGUAAUGCCGAAUGUGCCCUUCGGGGAAAGGAUUUAUCGCCUUUAGAGCGGCCCGGCGUCUGAUUAGCUAGUUGGUGA
rnacentral:rRNA from 1 species